UAGGGAAUCUUCCACAGUGGACGAAAGUCUGAUGGAGCAACGCCGCGUGAGUGAAGAAGGGUUUCGGCUCGUAAAACUCUGUUGUUAAAGAAGAACAUAUCUGAGAGUAACUGUUCAGGUAUUGACGGUAUUUAACCAGAAAGCCACGGCUAACUACGUGCCGG
rnacentral:rRNA from 1 species